CACCCUGAGAUUGGGCUGUCUGUCCCACACCCUGAGAUGGGCUGUCUGUAACUCACCCUGAAUGGGCUGUCUGUACUCACCCUGAGAUGGGCUGUCUGUCCCCACCCUGAGAUGGGCGUCUGUACUCACCCUGGAGAUGGGCUGUCUGUACUCAUCCUGAGAUGGGCUGUCUGUACUCAUCCUGAGAUGGGUGUCUGUCCCCACCCUGAGAUGGUCUGUCUGUCCCCACCCGAGAUGGUCUGUCUGUCCCCCACCCUGAGAUGGUCUGUCUUACUCACCCUGAGAUGGUCUGUCCCCACCCUGAGAUGGGCUGUCUGUACUCACCCUGAGAUGGUCUGUCCCCACCCUGAGAUGGUCUGUCUGUACUCACCCUGAGAUGGUCUGUCCCCACCCUGAGAUGGUCUGUCCCCACUCUGAGAUGGUCUGUCUGUACUCACCCUGAAGAUGGUCUGUCGUCCCCACCCUGAGAUGGUCUGCCUGUAACCACCCUGAGAUGGCUC
rnacentral:lncRNA from 1 species